rnacentral:rRNA from 1 species
AUGAACGCUAGCGGGAGGCCUCACACAUGCAAGCCGAGCGGUAUUGUUUCUUCGGAAAUGAGAGAGCGGCGUACGGGUGCGUAACACGUGUGCAACCUGCCUUUAUCUGGGGGAUAGCCUUUCGAAAGGAAGAUUAAUACUCCAUAAUAUAUUGAACGGCAUCGUUUAAUAUUGAAAGCUCCGGCGGAUAGAGAUGGGCACGCGCAAGAUUAGCUAGUUGGUGAGGUAACGGCUCACCAAGGCGAUGAUCUUUAGGGGGCCUGAGAGGGUGAUCCCCCACACUGGUACUGAGACACGGACCAGACUCCUACGGGAGGCAGCAGUGAGGAAUAUUGGUCAAUGGGUGCAAGCCUGAACCAGCCAUCCCGCGUGAAGGACGACUGCCCUAUGGGUUGUAAACUUCUUUUGUAUAGGGAUAAACCUACCCUCGAGAGGGUAGCUGAAGGUACUAUACGAAUAAGCACCAGCUAACUCCGUG